UACCAGCUCUCCGAGUGGUAGGGAUGAUUAUUGGGCUUAAAGCGUCCGUAGCCGGCUUAGCAAGUUUCCUGUUAAAUUCAGCGACCAAAUCGUUGAGCCGCGGGAAAUACUACUAGGCUAGGAGGCGGGAGAGGUCGACGGUACUUCUGGGGUAGGGGUGAAAUCCUAUAAUCCCGGGAGGACCACCAGUGGCGAAGGCUGUCGACUAGAACGCGCUCGACGGUGAGGGACGAAAGCUGGGGGAGCGAACCGGAUUAGAUACCCGGGUAGUCCCAGCUGUAAACGAUGCGGGCUAGGUGUUGGGGUGGCUACGUGCCACUUCAGUGCCGCAGGGAAGCCAUUAAGCCCGCCGCCUGGGGAGUACGGCCGCAAGGCUGAAACUUAAAGGAAUUGGCGGGGGAGCACCACAAGGCGUGAAGCUUGCGGUUC
rnacentral:rRNA from 1 species